GACGAACGCUGGCGGCGUGCUUAACACAUGCAAGUCGAACGAUGAAGCCCAGCUUGCUGGGUGGAUUAGUGGCGAACGGGUGAGUAACACGUGAGUAACCUGCCCUUGACUUCGGGAUAACUCCGGGAAACCGGGGCUAAUACCGGAUAUGAGCCGUCCUCGCAUGGGGGUGGUUGGAAAGUUUUUCGGUCAGGGAUGGGCUCGCGGCCUAUCAGCUUGUUGGUGGGGUGAUGGCCUACCAAGGCGACGACGGGUAGCCGGCCUGAGAGGGCGACCGGCCACACUGGGACUGAGACACGGCCCAGACUCCUACGGGAGGCAGCAGUGGGGAAUAUUGCACAAUGGGCGCAAGCCUGAUGCAGCGACGCCGCGUGAGGGAUGAAGGCCUUCGGGUUGUAAACCUCUUUCAGCAGGGAAGAAGCGCAAGUGACGGUACCUGCAGAAGAAGCGCCGGCUAACUACGUGCCAGCGCGCGGUAA
rnacentral:rRNA from 1 species